UACGAAGGGAGCGAGCGUUGUUCGGAAUUACUGGGCUUAAAGCGUGCGUAGGCGGACAAGAAAGUCAGAAGUGAAAUCCCGGGGCUUAACCUCGGAACUGCUUUUGAAACUUCUUGUCUGGAAUUCGGAAGAGGUUGGCGGAAUACCCAGUGUAGAGGUGAAAUUCGCAGAUAUUGGGUAGAACACCGGUGGCGAAGGCGGCCAACUGGUCCGGUACUGACGCUGAGGUGCGAAAGCGUGGGGAGCAAACAGG
rnacentral:rRNA from 1 species